CCAAGACUUGAAGAUUAUGGUCCUCUUAAGUCCCUGAAUGCAAAGGAAGAAGCCAAACCAUACCUCAUAAUACAGGAAUGGAAACAUCCCUUAAAUCCAGGCCACUUCCUGUGGUUGAGCAAGUGGUCGCUGCACCAAAGAUGCCCAGCCACUGGUGUGACAUUCAAAUCCAGCUCAUGUUUUACUGCUCAGACCAGUCCAGACCACCAGCUCACUGAGUCCACUUGGAGGAAGGUUAUCUGUUUUCUUUGCCCAAAGGCUUUGUCUGCUUGCCAAGCUCUAAGCCCACAAAGAUGCUGCUUUCCAGAAGGAAGCCACCUGUAUGGAAAGAAAGGCUGGUAUGGUGACAUAAGUGUCGGAUCUACAAGGUGACCAGGAAAAGAUGCUCAAGACCAAAGAUUGUGACACAGACUGACAAUCCCAUCCUGCCUCCACGGCUCACGACCUACGGGACUUCACUGACCCCCUUCAAAGACAGCCUCCUCAUCUACAAAACGGGGCUAAAAGAAGCAACUCCCUAAAAGCGUGGCUAUGAGAAUUAAGUCCAUCAUACGUGUAACCAACUGUGCUACACAUGUCAGCUGUUGUGUUA